AAUAGUGAGGUCUUGCGAAGAAGCCGAAGUCGUCCCACAUAUAUGCGAGAAGCAGCAAUGACUUGCCUAUGCAUUGUGAGCCCCGAGAAACCAACAGCCUCGAUGCAAAUUGAUGGGGUUAUUCCCAAUCCCAAAAGCAUCCUUUAAUGAGAAGCGAAGACUCGAGGAAUUGUCCGCAUUAUGUCGAAUCUUGAGGCAGUGCUCUACCCUGAGGAUCCCUGCCAAAGAGAACUCAAACUUCAGGAAGCUUUUAACACCAUCACUCAAUGCGAGGCAGUACCUUAUCUCAUCGUUCCUUUUCUAAAAAAAAGAAUAAACAUAGGAAGCUCUGAUCAUGAAAGCUCCACGAAUGUCCGAAUCAGCGCCUGAGUACAGGCAACUCCUCUGCAGAAGUCUACCAUAUACAUUUUAAAAGGGUUGUCUGCAUCAAGAUCAAAAGGGACCCCCUUGUACCCAAAGCUUAAAUUCAUUUAGGAUAACAUCCUCGAAGGCCCCAAAAUUAGGCAUAUUAUCUCCAGAUAACUCGGAGGUCCCUGGCACCCCGGUCCUAUCAGAUCAAUCUAGGAUUGGUCCGAGGUAUAACGAUGGGUUCGAAAGAGAGCCAUGUAGAUCAGCAGAGGAUUGGAAAGAAUGCUCGCGUCGAAGUCAGAUAUCGACGGUCAACAAAUAAAAGAAUAAAUUCAAAAGGCCUCGAGGGGCAUGACAGCAUACAGAAAUAAGGCAAUGAUCGAAAGCAUAAUUCAAUAGAGUAUUUUCAUAUUCAUAAAAAUCCAUGUACAAACAGACCUCGAGUGGUCACUACAUACAACUACAAAAGCCUACAGAGGUCUACACUUAAUGCGGAGGAACAGAAGGAUGUACAUGUGAUAAAACCCGAGAGCCAGGUCCACCCUCGAAGAAUCAUCUCUGUAAUAGCAUCCUUGAGCGCCUCCCUCUUGAGCACGCAUCCUCGAGGGUGAUUCCUCUUACCACCACCUCUUCUAUUCUCCCAGUUCGAGCCCUCAAGGGAUUCCUGCCGGAGAAGAUGAAGAAUAGAAAAAGGAGGGGAUGCAGAGGAAGCAGAGAAAAGAGACAUGGCCCGCUGAAGCCAAAGGUUGAAAAUUCGGCGGGCCAUAGCCUCAACGGCUGGUACUGCCAUUUUAUCCCUUGGGAAAGAAAAAACCCUAGGGAUGAAGAGCGAUAGCAGGCCUAGGUAGGAGAGUGAGUAGCGGUGCAUAAUUUGAACAACUAUCUACAUUAGGGGGAAACGGACUCCGCAUCCAUCAUCACCUCGAACCAAUAGCAACAGCAAAGGCUAGCAUUUUGACGACCACAACAAUAGCGGGACAAAGCGAUUAUGCUCGACAAAGGAAAGUCCCGACAAAGAGCCACAACAUGAUCUAAGGGAGCUACUACAAACGGCCUUGAGGCCAUGAGACCCAAGCAUGUUGUUAAAGGAUAGAAGAAGAUGAUAAUAAGGAAUAGGCAAGCCAAGACACCCCCAUUUAUAUGGGGUUCUGACACGAUCAUCGAGGCUUUGAAAGAUUGACCGAGGGAUGCAAUUAAUGCAUCCUUGGAAAACCAAAAUGGUAGUACCUUCACCUUGGAGAGCGAAUUGGGAGUGCAUUGAAUAAAGUUGAAAAUACAUGAGCCAGCAGAUGCCCAGUUACCACAAAACUCACACAAGGAGUCGCAUCAUUGGUAUGAUGUCGCCGUAAGAAGCUCGAGGAGUCAAAUAUCAGGAUCAUUUCCCAUCACUUUGUUAUGGGAAACGCAGAGAUUAUCUGUACUAGGCAAAAUUAGAGGACUUGAUUUCUCGCUGUCAAGUCAUUUCGGAAGAACACCUCAAGACCUCGAGGACGAGAACUACGAUCAAGUUCCUGACCUCAGAGCUCGUCAAGGCUCGACUUAGAGAAGACAGAGAUCAAGCCAGGGUAGAGGGGGAAGCUCCUCAGGCACACGGCUAAGUCUGACAGGGCCCGCCUAUCCAGAGCCUAUGCUGAGGUAUCGCGUCAAGCCAUCCCAUCUCCAUACUUUGUAAUUAAGCUCUACAUACUUAUAGCCGAGUUCCCCUCCUAUAUAAAGGGGACGCAUUGUAACUUGUAAAGGACUGAUGUUGCUCCAUGUCUCUAUUUGUGUAAUAACCUCUCUUUCUCUCUCUCUCUCUCUCUCUCUCUCUCUCUCUCUCUCUCUCUCUCUCUCUCUCACUUUCUCGUUCUCACUGGCCUGAAGUCACCUUAACAUCCAUUGCUUUCUUAGUAGUUCUUCAUCGUAUUUCUUUGUAUUGGCCGUGAAGAGAUUUGUUUAAUUAUAUCCUCAACUGGUAUCCUAUCCUAUACUAUCCCCGAUAGCUAGAAUUUGUCCAUGACGUUGACCCCGAGGUCCCCUAUCAGCCAUACCUAUAUCCGGGCAGCAGGCCCUUCGGUUUGAUUACUAUCUCAUUUUAGCUUGCAUUGCAUCAUUAAACACUAUAUUAUUAGCAUCAAUUGCUCUAACAACUAGCUCGGGAAUAGAUCACGUACUUUUAGAAUUCCAUUUACAAAUUUAAUUGUUAUUACCAUUUUCACGGUGAACACUUCAUCACGCCAACUUUGGAAGGAUUUGUUUUUGCUGAACCCUCUGGAUACUUUUCUUUUAAGAUUUGGGAAUUCAUCUUGAACAUGCCAUACUUUUCACAUUCAUAACAUUUCUCAUCAUUCUUGUCUUAUUCGCUGUAUUUCCUGGUUCGCCUAGAUGACAUACUUCCCCUUCUUGUAUUUCUAUACCUUCUCAUUAACACAUCCAUGUUCUUGAUACUAUAGCAAUUUCUUCUUCAAAAGCUUCUAGAUCAUCGUCAAUAACAUUCUCAAGUCCUUCAGUUGUAAAUUUGAAGGCCACUAUUUUCUUCUUUUCUUCCUGACUUGUCUUCUUGAGGUAGGUUUUCUCGAAUUCUAUUAGAUCUCUUCUAAGCAUAUCAUAUGAAAGUUUGUUUAAAUCUUGAGAUUCGAAUGCAACUACUUUUUUCUACCAAGUGAUAGGUAAACUCCUUAAGAUUUUUUGAACUUGAUCACCACUUGAAUAGGGUUUACCAAAAGCUUUAGAUCACUAAUGAUUCUGCUGAAUCUUGCAAAUAUUUCCUCAACGGAUUCUCCUUCUUUCAUCUAGACGAGUUCAUAGUCAUGAAACCAACUUGUUUACAAGAGUUUCUUUCACUUUGCUGGUCCCUUCAUAGGUGACCUCUAGUUUGUCCCACAUUUCUAUAGUUGCAUCACAACUUGAAGUCUUCUAUUAUUCUUCUCAGGUUAUAGUAUUAUACAACAGGUUUGUGCAUUAGCAUUAACCUAUACGACCGACAUUUUAUUCAUAUCUGUAUUUAUCUAUAUCUUCAGGAUCAGCAGGUGGUUGACUUGCGGCUUGUAGUGGAUAAUUCCCCUUUUUGAUAACAUGCCAUACUUCAACAGCAUAAGAUUUUGCAUAGAUAUAUUCGCACUUUCCACUAAGAAAAUUAUUAUCUGUUGAAGCAUGGUGGCCUGACUUGUGAUGUUCACUCUUGAAAAAGUUCUCAAACAGUUAUUUAAUUGGCCUAUGUAAUACCCCAGAAAAUAGGCAGAGUCCCACGUAGGAAAAACACAAGAGGGAUGUUGGGUGUAUAUGCUAACAAGUUUAGACCCUAGUGAUGUGUUUUAAACCCGUGAGGGCCUAGGCCAAAAGCGGACAAUAUCACUAGCGGGCUGAGCUGUUACAGAUGAUAUCAAAGCCACUCUUGUUCCAGCCCUAUUAAUGGUCGGUCAGAGUUCAACUGAGUUUAGGAAAAUCCCAGUUAUGCGGGUCAAAACUCAGUGUUGAAUUUAAGCAAAGCCCAUUCGAUGGGUAAAACAUCAGUGAGGACGCCGAGUCCAUAAGAGGGGUGUAUGUAACACCCCAGACUACAGACAGAGUCCUACAUUGGCAAAGCACAAGAGGGAUGCUGGAUAUACAAGUUAACAAGCCUUAGACCUUAAUAAUGCAUUUUAAACCCGUAAGGGCCUAGACCUAGAGCGAAUAAUAUCACUAGCGGGUUGGGCUGUUAUAGAUGGUAUCAAAGCUACUCUUCUGCCAGCCUUGUCGAUGGUGGGUCAGAGUUCAACUUGUCACACCCCUUUUUAAAAAACUUCAUUAAACUCGCUUAAAUUAAAUAAAAGUAUUUUAUUAAACAUGAAAAGGGUUUUCCUUUGAAAGUGACAAAAACUUGUGUUUCAAAAGGAUUAACUCACAGUCUCCACCUGACAUUGGUUUCGAUGUGCCAGGUCACCGUUUUUUUUUUCCAAAAAUAAUAAUUUUCCUUUCAAAACACUUUGAACUCUUAAACUAAGUCUACAUCAGAGAUUAGGGUAAGGAGGUUCAUUUGACUCGGGGAGAAGGUGUUAGACACUCUCCAAAUCCCGUAACUAGUACAGUUGCACACUUGAUCUAAUCGGCUUUUAGAAUAUUCGAAUUGAGGUAAAACAAACCUAGGAAAAUAAACACACAAAGGGUCGAGGUCGUCCUUACCUAAUAAAAGAAAAAUAAACAUAAACUAUUGUUAGCUCUACUUUGGGCCUCCAAAUACAAGUACUACGGGGCAUUCCCCGAGAUAAAAUAUAUAUUAGUCCUUCAAGGCAUUCCCCAGAUAAAUUUAACUUAGGGAACUACCUCGCCUCACAAUUAACAGAAGUCCUAAAGCUUGCUUACCUAAUAUGACCGGCCCAAGCAUGCUCCUAGUGAUUAAAAGAUAGAAAUGAAAUUAAAUAAAACUCGUUCCAUGCUCACUUUUCCUUUAACUUCUGAUUUCAUGUAUAUGACCAAGCCCAAUUCUUAAAUAUGUAAGCAAAUUAAUAAUAAUGGGCCAAGUGUUUUUCCAACUCCCACGUCCCAAAUCAUUCAAAUAUCCAUCGGACAAAUCAGAACCACACAAAGAGAGAAAAGUAUAAAGCAACAAAUAAAUAUAGGGUCGAUCAAAGUAUGAUAAGAGUCAUCUAUAAUCUCAUUAAACACAUUUAUGCGUCUUACUUCUUACUUCCCGACCUUCCAGCUAUCAAAAACACACAUGCUUACAUGCUUAAAAUCAUGAAUUCUAAGUUAUGGACUUCAAAAGAAAGAAAAUGCUCACAUGUAAAAGCAUUUAGGCCAAACUGAAUUAACAUGGUGACUUGAGGAAAUGAAUUAUUCCUUAACAGAUCAUUAGAUCAACAAAAAACACAAAGAUACCCUUCAACAGAAUGCAAACCCUCCAGCCAUUGGGAGAAGAAACCAAACUUUAAACCAAGUUCGUGACAAAAUUCAUCGUUACUAGCUUAGCUCAACCAGAGAGAUGGUAAAAACAAUGAUCCCCUUAAAGCGUAGCAAAGAGUUGUAAUAGUUCUAACUGCCGAAUACAACUAACCGUUCCAACAACAAUCAGUGGACGCCAUAGAACAAUUUCAGAACUCAGUUGGCACAUAGAAUCAACCAAACAGUUUAAAAGAUCAAAUAGGUAGCAAGAUAUGGUUGUUUGAAAUUGUUUUUUUUCGUUUGCCGUCACAGAACUGAUAUCAAUAGAUGCAAAACACGACAGGGAACAUCAAAAGACGAUUUUAGAAUUCCUGUUUUUAGUUUCAAUUCAAACAAAUGAGCAGAAACAUUCAUAGAAACAGCAGAGAUCGCAAGACAGCUUCCCAAUCUUGUUAACAACCACAACAAAUUCAAGCUCAUUCAUAUUCGACACCGUGAAUACCAAUUUCAGCAGCCAAAAUUAAGACAAGUUAGGAGAAUCGCUGGGAAUGUAACUCAUACCAAGCUUAAUCAACAGAAGACUUCGAUGACAAACUAAUCUAAGGGAUUAGCAACUGCAAGGACUACAAUGCUGAAGACAAGAUCAACUCAAAUUAAGUCACGAGUCAUUGGUUAUACCUCAACAAACUUUCAUGUUUACUCUCGAAAUCAACUGAGACUCACUAACUCAUUCUUGGAUUUGAAAACUAGUCAUUUAAACACAUAGAAUUCUUAUCUAGAGACUAACCGUCUACAUAAAACUGAAAUGUUGAUACCGAUCUUCUACGGGCCUUUUGACACAAGAAUUCAAACGCACAAAUUGGAUGCCAACUCGAGAAGACACGGGAUAGAACCAAAUAAACUGAGGACGCCAAUAGAUCAUUGUCGACAAAUAAAUUAAGACAGCAAAUCCAAUAAUUUCCGUAUUUAUCGUAUUGAACUCAAAAAAUUAAACACUAACAUUUCAAACAGUCACACAUACCAAAUCAAGGAUCAAAGAAUCAGAUUGAACUACCAUUCGACAUGCUAGGCAAGGGCAAAAUCAAAGCUGCGAGACAUUCAAAUACCAAAGCAAAAUAGAACACAUGAUGGUGUAACUUAAUCUUAACUUAAUACUAUAUAAAAAUCACUAGAUUGUCACUGUAAACGCCCAGAUUUGAUUAUUUAUCUCUAAAACAUGUCAAGCAAAUUCACACUUGUAAUUAUAUUUAUACCAUCAUUAACAGAGUAAGAAAAUGAAGACGAACCUGGAAAUUAAGCUUUUAUUAAUUCUGUAAGAAUCGAUUACAACAGAAGUAGAUUUGGCGACGAACUUGAGAGCAAAAACAGCUACUGAAAAGCCAUAGUAAACAACGAAGCAACAGAGCAGGAAACCAAUUUAAGAAUGUGGACACAAACAAAAAUUCGAACGGCGAACUCGACCUCGGAUCAAUCGAUCUCCAUGUUGAAACCAAAACCAAAAGAGGAAACUAAAUGUAUUUUUUGGAAUUUUCUGAUUUUUCGAAAAUGAAACAAGGACUUGAACAAAAUGAAACUCGAACCCUAGUUUGUUUUCGAAGAUUUUUUUUCCAACCCUCUUUUUUGAUUUUUCGUCUAAAGGCUCCAAAUAUAUAUAUGAAGCCCUGGAAGCUUCUUCUCCUAUUCUCCAAAAACUCCUGUGUGGGGACCUCAAACACAAAUUCGAAAAUCCCUUUUCACCAAUAAAAUAAAAGACAAAAGUUUCAUCCAAGGAUUCCUAAUCUUCCUAAAUUUACUCAAGGAUUCGGAUUUUGUGUUUAAACAAAAGAAAUAGAAGAAGAAAUCCGUGUAAAUCAGAUUAAAAUGAUGAGAUUCUAUGCGAAUUGAGUGACGUGGAAGAAGGGGAAGAGAGGAGGGGGGACCACGUGAGUUAAUUUGCCAUUUCCGGCGAGUUCUGGCGAGUUUGCGGGUGAUUUCGCGGCGGCAAUGGGGUGAGGAGGGGGCGCCGGUCUUGUGAGUUAGGGUUAGGGUUAGGGGAUUUAGGGUUAAAGUUGGGCUUUUGUAUGGUUUUGGAGGAUUAAU
rnacentral:lncRNA from 1 species